rnacentral:rRNA from 1 species
GAUCAUGGCUCAGAACGAACGCUGGUAGCGUGGAUUAGGCAUGCAAGUCGGACGGGAUCCGGAAGGUAGCAAUACCGGCCGGUGAGAGUGGCGGACUGGGGAGGAACACGUGGGCAACCUGCCUUGAGUGGGGGAAAACCGCUGGAAACGGCGGCUAAUACCGCAUGUGGCGCCCGGGGACAUCCUCGGAGCGCGAAAGGGGGCCGCAAGGCUCCCGCUCGGAGAGGGGCCCGCGCACCAUCAGCUAGUUGGCGGGGUAACGGCCCACCAAGGCCUACGGUUAGCUGGUCUGAGAGGAUGACCAGCCCCACUGGGACUGAGACACUGCCCAGACUCCUACGGGAGGCUGCAGUCGAGGAUCAUUUGCAAUGGGCGCAAGCCUGACAAUGCGACGCUGCCGUGGAGGAUGAAGGCCUUCGGGUUGUAAACUCCUGUCAUGGGGGAACAGGCGAGGGGACCCAACACGUCCCUUAGUUGAGUGUACCCCAAGAGGAAGGGACGGCUAACUCUGUGCCAGCCGCCGC